AGUGCAUACUAUCAGCCUUCUCAGACUUCGGCUUGUUGUUGAUAGACUGUGUACGUGAAAUGUCUUUCACAGGUGGACUCCAUGUUUCGAAGCUGUUAUGUGAGUCAGAGCGACAGAUCCUCCUCUUUCAGCUGCAGUAUGCAUUGCUAAUUCAGCAUCUUCCAGCAAUUGUGCCUCCACUGCGGCUGCAUCAGCUUCUCAUGUUUAGCCUCUUGGAUGGCAUAUGACACUCUCACUUUGGUGUCUUCAUCUCUGGCCUGGGUACUCGCCGAUGAUGCGGAUGACUUGCCACUUCUAGUGCUGCCCACAGACAACUUCCUGCUUG